GUAACCUUAUUGGCUGAGGGUCUGGAAAACUCAUACAUCACAUGUGUUGUUUAUCAGCUUCUCUCUCGAUUUUUCUACGAGACUGGAGUUAAAUCUCAGCGCAACAAUC